GAAUAGCAAGAAAAAGGAAGACUACAUCUACUCCGCUGGUUUAGGUCACUUAGUAACUGGGUAACUUCAUCACAAAUGUUGUUAUUCACGUAAAACGGUGACUAGAGCCAUGAGUAUGCAAACCACUUUAGGUAAAAUGUUUUUUGGUUGAGUAACCGGGUGCCUUCACCACAAGUGUUGUCAUUCGCGUCAAAAGACCGAAAUACGGCCUAAAGAACGUAGUCACAGGCAAAAACAAAGAAAAAAGAAAGAAAAUAAAAGCCAUGACAACAAAAGGGGAAGAAAAAAGGGAAAAAAAUGGCCAAAGAAAAGAACGAACAAAAGUCGUCCCAACUUAGGCAGAAAUAAGGAGAUAAAGGGUAUUGUGUUGAAGUGACGAGUAUGGUGACAUUUAGAAACCUAUGAUUUUGUGGAAGCUUGAUUGUUCUACUCUCUACUUGGCGAGACAAAGUGUUGUGAUGUGAUUGGCCUCUUACCCUCAUUAUGAUAAGUUAGCGUUAGCAUAACGUAUUGCGGCAUUUGUGUUUUGAGAUUAUCUGCAUAUGGGUUAUAGGUUACCUUUGUUGUUACGGAAUAUUAGCACAAUGUUGAGAUCAUAUUUUUUGCAAUGUUGGACUUUUGCUUGAGGACAAUAAUUGUUUAAGUUUGGGGAGUUUGAUAAGCUUAGUUUUACAUAUUUAUAAUAGCGGAAAAUAGUAUUCUGUUGUGUGGAAGGCAAUAACUUAAAAAAAAUUCUAUAGUCAUUCCCUUCUAUUUUUGGUUUAUAUCUAAAAAAUGUUGUAUUUUUUUAUGGCUAUCUGAAAAUCCCAUGUAAAAGCCUUCAUUUAGACUUUAUAUGACUACUAUUUUUGGCUGGGAGGUGAUAGAUUCUGACCAUGAUAUUAUUUUACGAAUAUAACUCACAAUAAUUAUUCUAAAAAUGUUUAAAUGCUAUAUUAUUAUGGUUGUCUUUUAUUUUAUGGAUUAUCCCUUUUAGAUGACCAUAUCAGCACAGGGUAAAUAUAACCUCUCAAAGCUACAUGAAAUGUACAAUUUGGCUAAGAGAUGUUUCGUGGUGGCAUUCCUAAGAAGGAUGGAAAAAUUGACUGUGCUGAAGACUCUUUCAGCAGGCAAAGCAAGCAUUUUUUAUUGUAUCAGGACAACUGCAGGUGGAAACAUAUGCCUGUGCGCUCAGUCAUGUGUAUACCUUCAGGCCAACAUGUCGAGUAUUGCCUGCGUGUCUGAAAGAGUGGUUAUUCAAAGUAUCCAUAUCUCAUCCUAUACCAUUAACAUUCUAAGUUAUAAUGUACUUUGACUUUACAAAUGGAUGGAUUUGACCAAACAGUUAAUAUGAAGGUUAUCAUGGCAACUAACCGAGCUCACACUUUGGACCCUGCCCUCCUAUGUCUGGGAAGACUUGAUCGUAAUAUUGAGUUCCCUUUGCCAAAUAGAUGUCAGAAGAGGCUCGUUUCUCAGAUUAAGAGGAAGCUGCCAAAAGUUAAUCGGGCUCUCGCAGCCUGACUUCUUGAGGAGGACGAAGAGCUGAAUGAGAAUAAGGGAGCUGAUGAUGCGGAUGUUCAGAAAACAUCAAAGAAAAAGAAAGGUCUCACCACUGAAGUUCUCAAAGAUGAGAGGUUUACAGCUAUGUUUGAAAAUAAGGACUUUGAGGUUGAUGAAUUCUCAAACGAAUACCUAGCUUUGCACCCAAUGCCAUCAACAACAAAAAAAGCCAUUUUUGCUCGAGGAGCAUUUUUUGAAGCUGUUGAAGAAGAGGAUGAAAAGGCUAUUGGUGGUUCUGAUGCACCAUGAGCGAGUGAAUUGUGAGAAGAUGAGCAUGAAAACACAAAGGCCAAAUCCAGGAAGAAAGCACAAGCUCCUAGAUUCUUCGAAGUGAAGGAUAAAUGACAAAAGAAGGGUUUACUAAAAGCCCCUCAAAAACAGAGACGAAAAACCAACAAAGGGGUUGGGGUGUAGUACCACUGGCGGAGGGUUUAUUAGUCGGGUUGAUGGAAGCGAAGAUGUGAUUCUUUCAUCAAUCAGCACACCCAGGAGAAGCGGCAUUGGAGGUGGAUGCGACACAAAAAUCCAAGAAAGAAAACUCCACUGAUUAAGAGGAAGCUGCCAAAAGUUAAUCGGGCUCUGGCAGCCCGACUUCUUGAGGAGGAGGAAGAGCUGAAUGAGAAUAUGGGAGCUGAUGAUGCAGAUGUUCAGAAAACAUCAAAGAAAAAGAAAGGUCUCACCAGUGAAGUUUUCAAACAUGAGAGGUUUACAGCUAUGUUUGAAAAUAAGGUAUUUCAUAGAGGUUCUGUUUAUGCAAAAGUUCAAAAACUUGCUUCUCUUGAUUGCUGCUGUUAGUUAUGAUCAACCAUGUAGUACUUUGUUCCCAGGGAUUUGUGAAAUAGUUGGAACUUUAAUAAACCCCGGACCAUAAGUAAUAUUGACACAUGUGAAAAUGCACAAGAAAUGAUAAUAAUUAUACAUAUCUUUAGCGCAAAGAAUCAAUUUUGAGAGCAAUGAGAUACAGAUAUAUCGGCUGGUCACGGGCUUGAGUAUUAACCACCUUUAUCCUCUGAAAUUUAGGCUACAUGAUUGGGAUAGCUCUCAAAUUAGCGUGAAAACCUUUAACAAGAGAUUGAAGCCCAAUAUUCAUUGUGACAAUAGUCUUAGAUUAGUGAGGGAAUUAGUUUGUUGGAAUGUGGAUGUGUGGAGACUGAAAAUUAUUCUUUGGGGGUUGACAAUUUUUA